GACAGAGGUGCCGAGCGUUAGGCGGAAUCACUGGGCUUAAAGCGUGUGUAGGCGGGCCGUUAAGUGUCUUGUGAGAUCCCCCGGCUCAACCGGGGAAUUGCUGGGCAUACUGGCGGUCUUGAGCAAUCUAGGGGCAGAUGGAACAAGUGGUGGAGCGGUGAAAUGCGUAGAUAUCACUUGGAACGCCAACGGUGAAGACAGUCUGCUGGGGAUUUGCUGACGCUGAGACACGAAAGCCAGGGGAGCGAACGGG
rnacentral:rRNA from 1 species